rnacentral:rRNA from 1 species
UAAGUUAGUGGCGGACGGGUGAGUAACGCGUGGAAAACCUGCCGUAUACUGGGGGAUAACACUUAGAAAUAGGUGCUAAUACCGCAUAAGCGCACGGGGCUGCAUGGCCCAGUGUGAAAAACUCCGGUGGUAUAAGAUGGACCCGCGUCUGAUUAGCUUGUUGGCGGGGUAACGGCCCACCAAGGCGACGAUCAGUAGCCGGCCUGAGAGGGUGGACGGCCACAUUGGGACUGAGACACGGCCCAGACUCCUACGGAAGGCAGCAG